GACGUAGGGCGCGAGCGUUGUCCGGAUUUAUUGGGUUUAAAGGGUGCGUAGGUGGUCUAUUAAGUCAGUGCUGAAAUAUCCCGGCUUAACCGGGAGGGUGGCAUUGAUACUGAUGGACUUGAGUGGAGUUGAGGUAGGCGGAAUUGAUUGUGUAGCGGUGAAAUGCAUAGAUACAAUCAAGAACUCCGAUUGCGUAGGCAGCUAACUAGGCUGUAACUGACGCUGAGGCACGAAAGCGUGGGGAGCGAACAGG
rnacentral:rRNA from 1 species